UACGUAGGGUGCAAGCGUUGUCCGGAAUUAUUGGGCGUAAAGAGCUCGUAGGCGGUUUGUCGCGUCUGCUGUGAAAACUCGGGGCUUAACUCCGGGCCUGCAGUGGGUACGGGCAGACUAGAGUGCGGUAGGGGAGACUGGAAUUCCUGGUGUAGCGGUGGAAUGCGCAGAUAUCAGGAGGAACACCGAUGGCGAAGGCGGCAUCCUGGACCGGCAUUGACGCUGAGGAGCGAAAGCCAGGGAGCAAACGGG
rnacentral:rRNA from 1 species